UCUCCGUUGCCGGAGCAGUUCGCAAUGACACUUGUAACAUUGCGUAAGGGUUGCGCUCGUUGCUCCACUUAAGGAAACACUUCACAGCACGAGCUGACGACAGCCAUGCAACACCUGUCACCGGGUUCCCGAAGGCACAGCACUAUUUCUAGCGCCUUCCCGGGAUGUCAAGUCCUGGUAAGGUUCUUCGCGUAUCGUCGAAUUAAACCUCACGUUCCACCGCUUGUGCGGGCCCCCGCCUAUUCCUUUGAGUUUUAAGCUUGCGCUCGUACUACUCAGGCGGCUCGCUUAACGCGUUAGCUUCGCUUCACACAGGGUCGAUACUACAUGAAGCUAGCGAGCAUCGUUUACAGCGUGGACUAC
rnacentral:misc_RNA from 1 species